rnacentral:tRNA from 1 species
AGAAGUUUAGGUUAACUAGACCAAGAGCCUUCAAAGCUCUAAGUAAAUAAACACGUAUUUAACUUCUG